AUUGAACGCUGGCGGCAUGCUUUACACAUGCAAGUCGAACGGUAACAGGCCGCAAGGUGCUGACGAGUGGCGAACGGGUGAGUAAUGCAUCGGAACGUGCCCAGUCGUGGGGGAUAACGCAGCGAAAGCUGUGCUAAUACCGCAUACGAUCUAUGGAUGGAAGCGGGGGACCGUAAGGCCUCGCGCGAUUGGAGCGGCCGAUGUCAGAUUAGGUAGUUGGUGGGGUAAAGGCCUACCAAGCCGACGAUCUGUAGCUGGUCUGAGAGGACGACCAGCCACACUGGACUGAGACACGGCCCAGACUCCUACGGGAGGCAGCAGUGGGGAAUUUUGGACAAUGGGCGCAAGCCUGAUCCAGCAAUGCCGCGUGCAGGAAGAAGGCCUUCGGGUUGUAAACUGCUUUUGUACGGAACGAAACGGUCUGGGUUAAUACCCUGGGCUAAUGACGGUACCGUAAGAAUAAGCACCGGCUAACUACGUGCCAGCCGCCGCAGUAACAC
rnacentral:rRNA from 1 species